UUUUCAAGCGCCAUUUUUCUUUUUGUUCGUUCUCGUUUCUCUGCAUUCAGGAGGGUAAUCCCUGGGGGCAGAAGAGGAUGGCUGGACAACGAGGAUCGCCGCCAGAAAUCACGCCCAGAGUUGCCAAGAGGGCUUACAUCAUUGCCGAAGAGGACUACUGGACAACGAAGAUCGCCGCCAGACAGUUGCAUACGGCGUUCAAGAGGACCUUCGUAACCACCGAAGAGGACCAUUAGACGUCGGGGAUCACCGCAGGAGCAAACAAACUCGUCGCCAUAGAUUAUCAGGUAUUAACCUUUAAAAUUUAAGUGGUUAAUUGUGUGUGUUUUUUGUAUUUAUAGGAGGGCUCAUCACCACCGAAGAGGCUGGUUGGACAACGUGGAACGACGCUACGACCGUCG